GAUGAACGCUGGCGGCGUGCCUAAUACAUGCAAGUCGAGCGAAUGGAUUAAGAGCUUGCUCUUAUGAAGUUAGCGGCGGACGGGUGAGUAACACGUGGGUAACCUGCCCAUAAGACUGGGAUAACUCCGGGAAACCGGGGCUAAUACCGGAUAACAUUUUGAACCGCAUGGUUCGAAAUUGAAAGGCGGCUUCGGCUGUCACUUAUGGAUGGACCCGCGUCGCAUUAGCUAGUUGGUGAGGUAACGGCUCACCAAGGCAACGAUGCGUAGCCGACCUGAGAGGGUGAUCGGCCACCCUGGGACUGAGACACGGCCCAGACUCCUACGGGAGGCAGCAGUAGGGAAUCUUCCGCAAUGGACGAAAGUCUGACGGAGCAACGCCGCGUGAGUGAUGAAGGCUUUCGGGUCGUAAAACUCUGUUGUUAGGGAAGAACAAGUGCUAGUUGAAUAAGCCGGCACCUUGACGGUACCUAACCAGAAAGCCACGGCUAACUACGUGCCAGCAGCCGCCGUAA
rnacentral:rRNA from 1 species